CCUUUUAUUUGUUAUGUUAUUAUUAGCAAGUCGAGCGAGCAGAACCAGCAGAUUUACUUCGGUAAUGACGCUGGGGACGCGAGCGGCGGAUGGGUGAGUAACACGUGGGGAACCUGCCCCAUAGUCUGGGAUACCACUUGGAAACAGGUGCUAAUACCGGAUAAGAAAGCAGAUCGCAUGAUCAGCUUAUAAAAGGCGGCGUAAGCUGUCGCUAUGGGAUGGCCCCGCGGUGCAUUAGCUAGUUGGUAAGGUAACGGCUUACCAAGGCAAUGAUGCAUAGCCGAGUUGAGAGACUGAUCGGCCACAUU
rnacentral:rRNA from 1 species